AUUGAACGCUAGCGGGAUGCUUUACACAUGCAAGUCGAACGAGAGGCGGACGGGUGAGUAAAAAAUCGGACCGUGCCCAGUAGCGGGGGAUAACUACCCGACAGAGUGGCUAAUACCGCAUACUAUGGGAGAGGCCGGGAUCGGCUUAGAUAGUUGGUGGGGUAAAGGCACCCCAAGGCAACGAUCCGUAGCUGGUUUGAGAGGACGACCAGUCACACUGGGACUGAGACACGGCCCAGACUCCUACGGGAGGCAGCAGUGGGGAAUUUUGGACAAUGGGGGAAACCCUGAUCCAGCCAUCCCGCGUGUAUGAGAAGGCCUUCGGGUUGUAAAGUACUUUUGGCAGCGAAGCGGUAUCUGCAGAAUAAGCACCGGCUAACUACGUGCCAGCAGCCGCGGUAAUAC
rnacentral:rRNA from 1 species